rnacentral:snRNA from 1 species
GUACUUGCUUUGGCAGCACACAUACUAAAGUUGGAACGAUACAGAGAAGACUAGCAUGGCCACUGCGCAAGGAUGCCACACAAAUUUGUGAAGUGGUCCAUAUUUUA